CUGGUUGAUGGAGUUGGUUUUCCUGGCUACUCUGGACCACAGGAGCUGGAGCCUUAACUCUCCAUUCCUGUGUCACUUUAGUCUUCAGUGAGGGGUUUGGGGGGGCAGGUUUAGCCAAACAAUUGUGUCCCACCAUAAGACAUUUCUCACAAUAUGAUGGCUUCCAAUCAUAUGACACAUCUUGCAUAAAACUCUUUCCAUUGGGAUCCAUCAGUUCAAUCUCACUUGGCAGUGCCUUUGAUACAUU
rnacentral:lncRNA from 1 species